AAACUUAAAUGAAUUGACGGGGAGCACCACAACGGGUGGAGCUUGCGGUUUAAUUGGAUUCAACGCCGGAAAUCUUACCGGGACCGACAGCGAUAUGAAGGCCAGGCUGAAGACUUUGCCGGAUUAGCUGAGAGGUGGUGCAUGGCCGUCGUCAGUUCGUACUGUGAAGCAUCCUGUUAAGUCAGGCAACGAGCGAGACCCACGCCCACAGUUGCCAGCGUACUCUCCGGAGUGACGGGUACACUGUGGGGACCGCCGCUGCUAAAGCGGAGGAAGGAAUGGGCAACGGUAGGUCAGUAUGCCCCGAAUAUCCCGGGCUACACGCGAGCUACAAUGGUUGGUACAAUGGGUAUCUACCCCGAAAGGGGAUGGAAAUCUCCUAAAGCCAAUCUUAGUCCGGAUUGUAGGCUGCAACUCGCCUACAUGAAGUCGGAAUCGCUAGUAAUCGCGGAUCAGCACGCCGCGGUGAAUACGUUCCCGGGCCUU
rnacentral:rRNA from 1 species